AGGAAUCUGAGAAGUGCGGCGAAGCGGCCAGUCGCGGAAGGAUAUGGGGAAAUCACCGCAGCCUGAGGUGAGAACCUGGGACUGUGAUGUCAGUGCAUUAGCAGAAGGAAGUAAUGCUUCCUGCAGGAAAGAUGGCAGUUUUGAUCUUCUAGAAGCAAGCCAUGAUCUGACUGGAAGAUGAAAACAGAGCAAGCCAAACUGCAGCAGUAACACCAACUCAUUCUGCAAGAGCAUAGUUCAGAGGAGGAUUAUGGCUCGUGGACUGCAGGACAGAACACUUGGCUAGAGAUACCAUGCAAGACGUGCGAAGUCAACACAUUGUUGCACUCUCUAUCCAUAAAGGGGGCUGUAAAUUCUUUGCUGAUUUGCUGGAUGAUAUAAAAGCACUCAAUCAAAAUGGUGGU